rnacentral:rRNA from 1 species
UUUUNNUCAGGACGAACGCUGGCGGCGUGCCUAAUACAUGCAAGUCGAGCGGAGCACUUCGGUGCUUAGCGGCGGACGGGUGAGUAACACGUAGGUAACCUGCCUGUAAGACUGGGAUAACUAUCGGAAACGAUAGCUAAGACCGGAUAACUGGUUUUCUCGCAUGGGAGAAUCAUGAAACACGGAGYAAUCUGUGGCUUAUAGAUGGGCCUGCGGCGCAUUAGCUAGUUGGUGAGGUAACGGCUCACCAAGGCGACGAUGCGUAGCCGACCUGAGAGGGUGAACGGCCACACUGGGACUGAGACACGGCCCAGACUCCUACGGGAGGCAGCAGUAGGGAAUCUUCCGCAAUGGACGCAAGUCUGACGGAGCAACGCCGCGUGAGUGAUGAAGGUUUUCGGAUCGUAAAGCUCUGUUGCCCUAGACGAACA